ensembl:misc_RNA Metazoa_SRP Metazoan signal recognition particle RNA
GCCGGGCAUGGUGGCACAUGCCUGUAAUCCCAGCUACUCGGGAGGCUGAGGCAGGAGAAUCGCUUGAACAUGGGAGAUGGAGGUUGCAGUGAGCCGAGAUCUUGCAACUGCACUCAGGCCCAGGUAACAGAGCGAGACUCUGUCUCUA